rnacentral:ncRNA from 1 species
GCAGAGUAAAUAUAUAUGCGUUAAGUGUCGGGUGAACGGGGAGUUGUCAUUCGGACGAAAAGGCGGUUUGAGAAUAUGGAUCGUCUUGCGGCAUAUAGAUUGCAUCCCGCUGU